AGCAGCCGCGGUAAUUCCAGCUCCAAUAGCGUAUAUUAAAGUUGUUGCAGUUAAAAAGCUCGUAGUUGAAUUUCGGGAUCAAUUUAUCGGUCGUGCCAAUGGUAUGAACUAGUACAAUUGGUUUCUCCCUUCUGACGAAGCAUGAUGUCAUUAAUUUGGUGUCGUGGGGAAUCAGGACUGUUACUUUGAAAAAAUUAGAGUGUUUAAAGCAAGCAUUAGCUUGAAUACAUUAGCAUGGAAUAAUGAAAUAGGACGUUUGAUCCUAUUUCGUUGGUUUCUAGGAUCGACGUAAUGAUUAAUAGGGAUAGUUGGGGGCAUUAGUAUUCAAUUGUCAGAGGUGAAAUUCUUGGAUUUAUUGAAGACUAACUACUGCGAAAGCAUUUGCCAAGGAUGUUUUCAUUAAUCAAGAACGAAAGUUAGGGGAUCGAAGACGAUCAGAUACCGUCGUAGUCAUAACCAUAAACUAUGCCGACUAGGGAUCGGAUGAUGUUAAUUUUUUAAUGACUCA
rnacentral:rRNA from 1 species